rnacentral:lncRNA from 1 species
UGGCGGGCCUGGUUUUGACGUCACAAACAUGGGACGUUUGCCCCUCCCUUCCUUAUAGAAGGACCUUCCUGUGUAUUCCUUGGGUUGUAGUGGAUUGAGAGGGAGCCUGGAAUGGCCCUGAAGACAAGUUCCGUUUUUACUCUGGAAGUAAUCGACACUUGAACAUCACUGUAUAGUUCUCAAAAGGUUUUUUUUUUUUUUUUUUGGUAAUCUAAAUGAAGGCAGCAAAAAGGAGUCAUUAUCGCAGAAUAGGAUCAUCCUCCUCUUCAAUUCAGGAAACUAAGUCACGGAGAGUGUGUCUCCACCUGGUGACAUCAACCCAUGGAAGAAACUGCCAGUUCCUGUGA